rnacentral:lncRNA from 1 species
CAGGUGGAGUGGCCAGAGAACGUCCUUCUGCAAAGGUGACAUGUUAGCCGAAUGUCAGAAGCUGAGAAGGACUGUGUGGCUCCGUGAACUAUAAGAUUUGGAAGUUCAAAGACAGAGACUGUUGAUUCCCCAUUGCUGGACUGAGAAGCAGACCAGUCUACAGUCUCACUGGGAUGCCCGUGUGGCAGGCAGAAGAAUGUGAACAGGUCCUCUUCUCUUUUUCAUUAAAUACUCUCCCUGCAGAGAGGGAUGGACCGGAAGUUUGGGAUCAAAGUUGCAAAUGGAUAAACAAGAUACUGUUUCUAGCACAGUGUCUGCUUUGUCUGAGAAACAGCAACCCUGGGCAACAAAUCAAAAGGAUGAAAACAGAAGAGCAUACUCUGAACUACAGAAUGUCACCAGACAAUUAUUUUCAGGGACCAGACCAUCUAAUGUCAGGUUUUGAUGAAUUCUUAAUAACAUCUUCGAUGAAAGAAUUGUUUUUCUGUCUAGGAAGGUGCUUUAGUAGUGGUGAAGUGUGUACAGGGUUCAGGAGUCAAAGGUACCAGAAUUGGAAUUCUGGUUCUAUCUUUUCCUGUCUCCCUUACGUUGGGAAAAUAACUGAAACUCUGUGUUUCAGUUUUCUCAUCUGCAAACUAUGGAUGUCACAGGAUUGUUGUAAGGAUUCUAUAGGACCAUAUAUUAGUGUGCUUAGAACUGUGCUGGGCAUAUAGGAUGAGCUCAACAGAGCUUAGAUGCUAUCAUCAUCUCCAUUACAAAUACACAGCAGGAUAGGAGGCAGAAGCUUUUUUUCCAGCUUUUUGGGGCCAUACAUGCAGCAUAUGGAAGUUCCCAGGCUAGGGACUGAAUCAGAGCUACAGCUGCUGGCCUACACCACAGCCACAGCAACACCAGAUCUGAGCCGUGUCCGCAAGCUACACCACAGCUCACGGUAACAUCAAAUCUAUAAACCACUGAGUGGGGCCAGGGAUCCAACCUGCCUCCUCAUGGAUACCAGUUGGGUUCAUUUUUGCGAAGCCACCUUAGGAACUCCAGAAGCUAUCUUUUCAAACCACGCUAGUGGUCAGUGCUCCGUGCUCCUGCUACUUGUGAAGAAAAUGCUUUUCUUUAUUUAAAAGAGUCAAGAGGCUACAUAAAUGAAUAAAAUCAGGACAAAACGACUUGAGGGAAUGUACCUAAACAAAAUUCAGGGGCGCACAGAAAACUUAGGAAGAAACAUCACAUUCUCAGAGGUUGGAUUCUGAAUAAAAUUGUUGGCACAUAUCAGUAUACACUUCAACAUGCCUCUUCCAUGUGUUGUCUUUUCAUCAUGAAGAAAGUUCUUCCUGGGUGAAAAGUAGACACUAAUGCUGCAGCCCUAAAGAGUGUUGACUGCCAAACUCUUCUCUUCUAGGGGCCAAUGUGGACUAUUGGCUCAGAAUGAAAAGCACAGAAACAUCACAGUGACGUGGUUCUUUGCAGCGUUAAACAUGGAUGAGUCAUACCAUCAAGCUGACACAGACAAACACAACUAUAUCAGGUAGAUCAAGCCCACAGAUAUACUGCUUAUAUCCAGAAAAUAACACCAAGGUAUUCUGGCCUCAAAAUAAAGAACGACUUCCUGGAAAUUAAAAGUAUGAUGAUGAUCAAAAUUAGACAGUAGAAGAGUUGAACGAUGAGGUUGAAAAAAAACCUAGAACAUACAGAGCUUAAAAAACAUAAAGCGAAGAUAAGUAUGAGAAAAUGGAUGCACUAGAUUUAACAGCCAACUCACAGGAGAUUCAUAAAGAGAAAAUUAGAGCUAAUACAGAGGAAGACAUUAUGGGAAGAAUUAAUAAAAAAAAUUCCCAGAAAUGAAGACUAUUCCUCCUUAAAUUGAAAGGGCUCAUCAAGUAUCCAGUGAAAGUGAACAGGAAGAACCCCACAUUUUUCAAUGCUUCAGAGAAAUUUCAGAACAUCAAGGAUAAAGAGGAUAUCCUCAGAGCUUCAAGAGAGAGAAAAAAAUCACCUACAAAGGAAUGUGUGAAUGACACGGGGCGUCUCGUCAACACUUCUUGAUCCUACAAAGUAGCAGAGAAAAGCCUUUACUAUUAUGAAGGAAAAAUUAUUUGGGGUCUAAACCUCUAUGCCUGCCCCAUCUAUUGUUGAUAUGGGAAAAGAGAAGAAGGAUAUUUUUUUGGACAUGUAAAAACUCAGAAAGUUUACUUCCCAAUUAGCUUUUCUUAGGAAGUUUUUGGGAAUGGACUCUAGGAGACAGACUUGCCAAGGGGUUCUAGAAAUCAGUCAGCAAAGGGUAGGGCAGAAGGACUGAGGAAUACAGAGAAGUAUCUGGAAGUAAAGGAACUUUAUGAAUAGGAUCAGAUCUAUACUGUCCUUGGGAGAACUAGAAAUGCUGGGGAGAGGAGCCUUAAAACCAAAAAGAGUUUUAAGGCUAUGUAGCUAAAUCUUCCUGGAGUAGUCCAUAACUAAAAGGGGGGAACACAGUGUAAUGUAUUCAGGAUUUACAUACAUAACCACUUAUUUGUCUGUGAAGAAGUCUUCCUGAC